UACGUGGGGUGCAAGCGUUAUCCGGAUUUACUGGGCGUAAAGAGUUCGUAGGCGCCUGGUCAAGUUUCGUUUGAAAUACCAAAGCUUAACUUUGGGACCGGACGAAAAACUGAUCGGGUCGAGUCAAUUAGGGGGUACUGGAAUUGAUAGUGUAGCAGUGAAAUGCGUUGAUAUUAUCAAGAACACCAAGGGCGAAGGCAGGUACCUGGGAUUUGACUGACGCUGAGGAACGAAAGCUAGGGGAG
rnacentral:rRNA from 1 species